rnacentral:rRNA from 1 species
CCUACGGGAGGCAGCAGUGAGGAAUAUUGGUCAAUGGGCGCGAGCCUGAACCAGCCAAGUAGCGUGAAGGAUGACUGCCCUACGGGUUGUAAACUUCUUUUGUAAGGGGGUAAAGUGAGGCACGUGUACCUUUUUGUAUGUACUUUACGAAUAAGGAUCGGCUAACUCCGUGCCAGCAGCCGCGGUAAUACGGAGGAUCCGAGCGUUAUCCGGAUUUAUUGGGUUUAAAGGGAGCGUAGAUGGGUUGUUAAGUUAGUUGUGAAAGUUUGCGGCUCAACCGUAAAAUUGCAAUUGAUACUGGCAGGCUUGAGUACAGUCGAGGUAGGCAGAAUUAGUGGUGUAGCGGUGAAAUGCAUAGAGAUCACGAAGAACACCGAUGGCGAAGGCAGCUUACUAGACUGAGACUGACACUGAUGCUCGAAAGCGUGGGUAGCAAACAGGAUUAGAUACCCGGGUAGUC